UGCAUGGAAAUAAGUGUUUAUACUCUGUGUAUGUGAAGGCAUCCAUAUGUACAAAUUUUUCAAACCUCUCCAAUGCUUCAGCUCUUAUACAGAUUUUUAAGAAAGACUUUUUUCUGGCUCUAACUAGCAGGAUGAAAAUUUAGUAAAACUAACCUUCAAAGUCACUUUCAAUUGAAAAAAAAAAACCAAACCUGAAAUACAUAAGAAGCCUAUUCAUCUUCAUCAGUUGUUGACACCAUCAUCAUUUGUCUCAUGGAAAAAAUAAUCCAGAGGAGAAUACAUAUACUCUGGAAAGAGGUGGUGUGUUGUGAGGUUUUUUUGUUAUACCAUGAAUACUAAUGAAGCAAAAGCAGUUCAGUUCUUUAUAAAAUCUAUUUCCAUUCACAUUCACCAAUGAGCUCCUAGACUACCUAUAAAGGUUUCAUUUAUUCUAUCACAUUGGAAGCCUCAGAAAACUAAUUGUUUAUUCAAGUCUAUCUGCUCCAUCCAUGCUCAAUUAGGUCUCACUUUUCCCUCAGUUAUAGCAAAAUUAAAAAUAAAAAUGCAGACUGAAAACAUUCUGGGUUCCACCAGUUCCCUGUGACAAACCACUCUGAAAAACCAUCGUUUCAAGCACAGCAAGAGCUUUUUGACCAUAAUGCAGCAUCUGAGGGACCUUCUCAACAGCUUAAAAAAUUCCUACUCAUUAACUUACUCCUCUGACUAAUGAAAAACACAUUUGAUAUGCAGCUUUCUGGUAAGAAUUGUGUUAAGAACUAAUAAGCAACGUUAAGUAUAACCAGGCAUUCCAGCCACAGCAAUUCACAAGUACCUCAUAAAAAUGGGUGAUAUAAUCUUCACAAUUAAGAUUCUGGAAAUGUUCAGGAACAGACUGCUGAAAGAUAUCCUGAGAUGUUCAACAUGUGAGGCUGCAGUCUCUGCCAGCCAACAGAUGGAUGUGUGUCCUCACAACAGCAGUAUGUGUAGUUAGCAUCACUACGAAGAGAAUAGUCCUCUAAGACAGCCAACAGUCCAAUCACAAAAAUGCCUAGAUGAAAUGUGUUGAUGUUGGCAGAAAAAUCCUGAAUUGCCUGAUCAGCAGAAUGCCUGCAUUAAAUUCAGCACCAUAACCUUUCUUAAACUCAGAGCUUAAGGUCUUAAGACUGUCUCAGUCAAUAAAAAAUCUCCUCUGCCUCUAAAAGACA
rnacentral:lncRNA from 1 species